CACAGCUCUAUCUGGCAGGGGGACAAGGUUAUUUCUGAAUCCAGCACCUGGGCCUGGCUAAGAGAAGAUUACCUUGGAAAGAAAGGAUUAGAGGGUUUGGGAUUUUUACAGAGUGAAAGACCCUCUGGAGCUUUGCAGGAGUCCUGUAGACUGCCCCAGGAUAAACUGUUUAAGAGUUGGACCAAUAUCUCCUGGAUCUGAAGGAGGAGGAAGACUCCAGCUGCUGUCUGACAGUCACACACGCAGCAUCCUGGUCAACAGAAGCUGAGGAGCCCUUCGAGAGAUGCCUCAGCUAGAAGGAUAUGUGUUGAAGCUGGGUCCUGCCUGUGUCCUUUAUUAAUUUGGGGUCAUCUGAAGGACAAGCUACAAAAACAUCCACAAUAAACAUUCUGGCCACUCCUCUGAGCAAAAAUCUACUGCUUGUCUUUCUUACAAAUGACAUGCAGGAGAUAAAGGCAGCAGCAAGGCAUCAAUUUAUAAAAAUGAGAUUCUAAAAAUAAAUAGUGUACAGUGGUGAAGGCUGGCAGAAUGACAAAGGCAGGGGGAGGG
ensembl:lncRNA